rnacentral:rRNA from 1 species
AGCGAACGCUGGCGGCAGGCCUAACACAUGCAAGUCGAACGAACCUUUCGGGGUUAGUGGCGGACGGGUGAGUAACACGUGGGAACGUGCCUUUAGGUUCGGAAUAACUCAGGGAAACUUGUGCUAAUACCGAAUGUGCCCUUCGGGGGAAAGAUUAAUCGCCUUUAGAGCGGCCCGCGUCUGAUUAGCUAGUUGGUUGAGGUAAUGGCUCACCAAGGCGACGAUCAGUAGCUGGUCUGAGAGGAUGAUCAGCCACAUUGGGACUGAGACACGGCCCAAACUCCUACGGGAGGCAGCAGUGGGGAAUCUUGCGCAAUGGGCGAAAGCCUGACGCAGCCAGGCCGCGUGAAUGAUGAAGGUCUAGGAUUGUAAAAUUCUUUCACCGGGGACGAUAAUGACGGUACCCGGAGAAGAAGCCCCGGCUAACUUCGUG